rnacentral:rRNA from 1 species
UACGGAGGGUGCGAGCGUUGUCCGGAAUCACUGGGCGUAAAGGGCGCGUAGGCGGCCUGAUAAGUAGGGGGUGAAAUCCUGCGGCUUAACCGCAGGGCUGCCUUCUAAACUGUCAGGCUGGAGCACAGUAGAGGCAGGUGGAAUUCCCGGUGUAGCGGUGGAAUGCGUAGAGAUCGGGAAGAACAUCAGUGGCGAAGGCGGCCUGCUGGGCUGUUGCUGACGCUGAGGCGCGACAUCGUGGGGAGCAAACAGG